AAGUCGUAACAAGGUUUCCGUAGGUGAACCUGCGGAAGGAUCAUCAAAAAAUUUUUUUGAUUUAUUUGACUGCACGCAAUGUGUGUAUAUGCAUAUAUGCGGAUGAUAUUUUUUGUGUAUGAAGGAAUAUAUGUAUAUGUAUAUAUAUAUAUAUUACUUUAUAUAUAUGUCAAAAAAAAUCAUCAUAUACGUAUAUUAUAUAUAUAUACAUACAUAUAAUUUGAUAUAUUUCCCUUAAGAAACGAGGGAAAAAAAAAACCUUUAUUUUAUAUAUUCUUAGUCUGAUGUUAUCAAAAAGUAGAGAGAAUCACAACUUUUAGCAAUGGAUCUCUCGGCUCUU
rnacentral:misc_RNA from 1 species